CAGUCGCCGCGGGAAUACGAAGGGUGCAAGUGUUAAUCGGAAUUACUGGGCGUAAAGCGCGCGUAGGUGGUUUGUUAAGUUGGAUGUGAAAUCCCGCAGCUCAACUGCGGAACUGCCUUUGAUACUGGGUAUCUUGAGUAUGGAAGAGGUUAGUGGAAUUGCGAGUGUAGAGGUGAAAUUCGUAGAUAUUCGCAGGAACACCAGUGGCGAAGGCGGCUAACUGGUCCAUAACUGACGCUGAGGUGCGAAAGCGUGGGGAGCAAACAGGAUUAGAUACCCCAGUAGUCCCUGUCUCUUAUAC
rnacentral:rRNA from 1 species